rnacentral:rRNA from 1 species
UUUGAUCAUGGCUCAGAUUGAACGCUGGCGGUAGGCUUAACACAUGCAAGUCGAGCGGAAACGAUGUAGCUUGCUACAGGCGUCGAGCGGCGGACGGGUGAGUAACGCGUAGGAAUCUGCCUAGUAGUGGGGGACAACCUGUGGAAACGCAGGCUAAUACCGCAUAAGCCCUGAGGGGGAAAGGAGGGGAUCUUCGGACCUUUCGCUAUUAGAUGAGCCUGCGUGAGAUUAGCUAGUUGGUGAGGUAAAGGCUCACCAAGGCGACGAUCUCUAGCUGGUCUGAGAGGAUGAUCAGCCACACUGGGACUGAGACACGGCCCAGACUCCUACGGGAGGCAGCAGUGGGGAAUAUUGGACAAUGGGCGCAAGCCUGAUCCAGCCAUACCGCGUGUGUGAAGAAGGCCCUAGGGUUGUAAAGCACUUUCAGAAGGGAGGAAAGGUUGAUGUUUAAUACACAUUAGCUGUGACGUUACCUUCAGAAGAAGCACCGGCUAACUCUGUGC